UGGGAAUCCCUAUGCAUUUUUUUCAGCACCUAGACAUCACAGUCCUUAUCAUAUCCAAAUCUUCACCAUCAUGGUCAUGAGGACUUCGGUUUGCUGUUUCUAAUAAACACUGGAUGACUCCUUCUCAUCUCUUACCCUGUGUGGCCUCUUCUUACUCUCAUGCAUGUAUUUAAAAAGAAGGGCUGUUCCCACCAGCUUGUACAAGCACAGAAUAUCUCUGGAAGGAUGCACAAGAAUGUGGCACCUGGGACUACUUCUGAAGAGGACAAGUAAAGGACCGGGGGAAAGAAUGUCUGGGAGGAGAUGCCAGCCCAAGUCAGACUUUCCCCAUGUGACCCACACCUGCUGGCCCUAAAUACGGGAGCCCGUCCACUCUGCCUUCUAACCAGGAGGCAGGAGAGCAGAGCAAGGCUGAGAGCAACCUGGCAGCCAGACUACCAGGCUGUCCCCCAGCUCCCCCGCUGCCAUUUGUACAACUGAGCAGAGCUCCUUAGCCUCUCUGGACCUCAGCUGAGGAGCAGCGAUUCCUACAGUGACAGGCAGCCUUGAAGUCAGCAGGCCCCCUUGCUCCCACCUUGAGUGGCAGAGGUGAUGGGAUCUUACAUCCCAAGUGAGGUGCAAAAGGCCUGUGGCUUCUGUUUGGACACACCUUCUCUUACUCGCUUGCUCUAAAGGAAGUCAGUCCUCAUGUUAUAUCCCACAUUGGGAGCAGCCCUGUGGGAAAGGCUCUCAGAGCAGGAAUUUAAAGCUUCCAGCCACCAGCCAGUGAGAAGCAGAAUCCUGCCAGCAAAUCCUACUCACAGCUAGUGAGUGAGCUUGGAAACUGGUCCUCCCCCAGGGCAAGAGGAUGCAGCCUGGGGAGACCGGAGCCAGAGAAACCCAGCGAAGUCAUGCUCAGAUUCCUGCCCCACAGAGACUGUGAAAUAAUAAACAUUUGUUGUUUUAAAGAGAAGCAGAGAGACUAGGCAACAUUUCUCCUGAAAAAUGUAUCAAUCACCUGCAAGAGGCCAGACAGAACAAGAGAUUGUGUAGAAUCCCUUCCCAUGCUGGGAGCCUAAGCAGAUCUCCAAAUAAUACAGUAAAUCCUUGAUUUUAAACAAAACGUUUCAGGAAGUGGGUGAUUUGCUGGAUUUAAUUUCCUGGUUAAUUGGAAGAACCUUUUUUUUAUAGAAUCAUGGUGCUUAAACGUAUCUCAUAGAUCAUGUAUUCAGAUGAAGCAGCUGAAACGGAGAAUUAGCAGUUUCUGAAAGUUCUGAAGCUUUUCUAUGGC